GGGCCCAUAGCUCAGGUGGUUAGAGCGCAUCGCUGAUAACGAUGAGGUCGGAGGUUCAAGUCCUCCUGGGCCCACCC
rnacentral:tRNA from 1 species